GGUGCGGUGGCGCAGCAGGUUAACGCCCUGGCCUGAAGUGCCGGAAAUUCCAUGUGGGCUACAGUUCGAGUCCUAGCUGCUCCA
rnacentral:tRNA from 1 species